rfam:Salmo salar isolate Sally breed double haploid chromosome ssa14, whole genome shotgun sequence.
UGCAUGCAUGAAAUGUAAGUCGCUUUGGAUAAAAGCGUCUGUUAAAUGGCUUAUA